CUCUGAGGUCCAACAAAUCCUGUCGCUCUCCAGGAUAGUACUCCAGUAACUCAGUGGAAGCAACCACCACAACAUUUCGAGAAAACAGUGAAAACAAUAUAGCUACAACAACUAUGCUUCUACCUAAAAAAGUCAUGGUCACAGCCAGAUCAGAUUGCGAAGCAAGCAAGGCAUCGUUGGUAAGAUUUAAGGAGUGAAGGGCACAAAAGCGAUGCCAACGAAGAGAAGUAAUACAAAAAGAACAACAAAGUGACAGCUUUUUCUUGAUGGGUUAUUGCUGAACAUGAGAGAAAAUGGAAGGAAUAUUAAAAUUCAUAACAAGGAGGCAGAUGAUGGUUAAACUGAUAGGCUUUCGUGAGAAGCAAAGAAUGUCAAAGGGUGCAUGGAAUUUAGAUUGAUUGACUGUGACAAAAUGGAGCAGCACUCUUUCCAUGGUACAGCUCAACAUGAAUAAUUUAAUGGAAACUUUAUAUUAUAAUUUAUGAUAACUGUUUGUUUGUUGGCUUUGUGCGUUUGGACUUGUAUUGUCAGGCCACCACCAUUGAUGGCUGCAACACCUGGAAUUUUUUUCUGGGAACAGGAACUUAUUUAUUUCAUUAAGUGAGAUGGGGAUAUAUAAUUAUA